AUUGAACGCUGGCGGCAUGCCUUACACAUGCAAGUCGAACGGUAACGGGUCCUUCGGGAUGCCGACGAGUGGCGAACGGGAGAGUAAUAUAUCGGAACGUGCCCAGUAGUGGGGGAUAACUGCUCGAAAGAGCAGCUAAUACCGCAUACGACCUGAGGGUGAAAGGGGGGGAUCGCAAGACCUCUCGCUAUUGGAGCGGCCGAUAUCAGAUUAGCUAGUUGGUGGGGUAAAGGCCUACCAAGGCAACGAUCUGUAGUUGGUCUGAGAGGACGACCAGCCACACUGGGACUGAGACACGGCCCAGACUCCUACGGGAGGCAGCAGUGGGGAAUUUUGGACAAUGGGCGCAAGCCUGAUCCAGCAAUGCCGCGUGCAGGAAGAAGGCCUUCGGGUUGUAAACUGCUUUUGUCAGGGAAGAAAUCUUCUGGGCUAAUACCCCGGGAGGAUGACGGUACCCGGAGAAGAAGCCCCGGCUAACUUCGUGCCAGCCGCCGCCGUAA
rnacentral:rRNA from 1 species